GGAAUAAACGAAGAGAGUCUGACCGGGAAGCUUUAUCGUCGGAGGAAGUGUUUUGGUGGCUACGAUGACGGAGGAAGAGUGUCAAAACGGCCAGAGAGAAGAUGAUGGCGGCGGCAAGGAGAGCGGAAGAGAGGGAAACAAGGAGGAGGUGACGUCGGUGUGAAGAAGGGGAAGGGGAAUGAGGUAUGAGCAAAGACGAAAUAUUGGCGGGAAAAGUAGGGAGUGUGGAAGGUUGCGACGGAGGAGGUGGCGGAGAAGGGAAAGAAAGGAAGAAAGGACUAUGAGGAGUGGAAGGAGGAGUGGUGGAGAAAGGAUAUUUCGGUUGUUGUUUCAAGUGAGGUAGUGGCUCCGGAGACGGAAACGGCGAAGAUGAAGAAGGAGGAUAAACCGGCGGCUGUGAAGUAACCGGGAAAAAAGGCUGGUGGAGUAAACGGCGGU
rnacentral:lncRNA from 1 species